rnacentral:pre_miRNA from 1 species
UCUUAUGGAUGAACAAAGAAAAUGGUUUCUUGAUGGAAUCCACUUCUUGUGAAGAUGCUAGGAA